UAGCCGAUUUGUCUCGCACCAGCCCAAACAUUUUAGCCCAGACCAUUAAUUCCCUAACCCUAACCCUAACAGACUCACUCUAAAAAAAGACGGAGGGGAGGAGAUCCAAGGAGGACACACGCAGAUUGAAUCCCCAUCUGGAUAUAGAGGCUAAUCGACACACAAUAUAGAUUCACCCUCCUUCAUAAUCUAAAAAGAUCUCACUCAUGCACGUUCAUUGAGGGAAAAUAAAGUUCUAAAAUCAAAAACUCAACAAAAUGUGUCUGAGAUCUAGAGCUACAAAAAAAUCCUUUAGGUAUUGAGUUUUAGAGCAAUUUUCAUAGAGAAAGAGGAAAGAUACACUAUGAAUUGAAAUUCUAUUUGGUUCUACGCCUCUCAUCUUCAAUUUCUGGGUUCUCUAAGAGUUGUUUUGGAGCUAAACUUGAGGAUAAUCGAAGGCUAGAUCUGAACUCCUACCCUGUUGUUUCUUUUAGUUUUUAUUUAGCUGUGUUGGCCUUGUUUCCUGCCGAUCCAGGAUAAUGUCAAACGAAGCUUGGAGGAGUUCACUCAAAAUCACUCGAUUGAUGAUAACUAUGGAAUACUUGUCACUAGUGAUGUUAAAAGUCUCAAGUCUCAGAUAAACUCCCUCUUAGCAUUUGGUGCAUUUCCUGUGCCCCGUUCUCCAGCAUCUGAUGAUAACUAAGUACUAGUUUCUUUUAUUAGUUUGUCUUGGAUGGUAUAUGUUGAAUAUUGAAUGUUGGAUUUUUUAAGUUUUUGUUCUACUUUCUGUUCAGUUGGAUAUUGUUUAUGAAAUGGAUUGAAUUUUAGGUGUUGUUUAUAAAAUGAAUUGGAUUGUAUGUUGAA